rnacentral:RNase_P_RNA from 2 species
GAAGCUGACCAGACAGUCGCCGCUUCGUCGUCGUCCUUUCGGGGAGACGGGCGGAGGGGAGGAAAGUCCGGGCUCCAUAGGGCAGGGUGCCAGGUAACGCCUGGGGGGGAAACCCACGACCAGUGCAACAGAGAGCAGACCGCCGAUGGCCCACGUAAGUGGGAUCAGGUAAGGGUGAAAGGGUGCGGUAAGAGCGCACCGCGCGGCUGGUAACAGUCCGUGGCACGGUAAACUCCACCCGGAGCAAGGCCAAAUAGGGGUUCAUAAGGUACGGCCCGUACUGAACCUGGGUAGGCUGCUUGAGCCAGUGAGCGAUUGCUGGCCUAGAUGAAUGACUGUCCACGACAGAACCCGGCUUAUCGGUCAGUUUCACUU